ACCACAGAGGACAGGUCUCCUCCAGCUGUGCCCCCACUCCCCUAAAAGCCUUGUAUUCCCCUCUGCAGGUUCCCUCUGGCCCCACCAGGAGAAGAAGAUGGCCUAUGAAAAAUCAACUGAUAUCUUUGAUGUCUCCAGGUCAAUGUUCCUGUACCCAUGGCUGGAAUAUCCAGACAGGACCAAAGAACUCAGAAAAGCCAUGGCUCCUGUUCAUCUGCCCUUGUCCUGCUACCAGAUGCCAAAGGAAGAGUUUCCCCCAAGUCCAGAGUGCUGGAGGCAGCAUCCGAGCAAGCCAAACUCAGUCCCGUACUGCUACUUCAAGAAACCUGAGAUCUACACGCACUGGCACAACCUGUAUGAUCAGCGAGAGGAAAGGGAGGCUGAAAAGAUGUUGAGGAAAAUGAGAGAUGACUGUAGGUACAUCAAAGAGGUACAUCAAACCCACAUCAAAAUGUUCCAUCUCCCGAUGAGCAAGCUGACUAUAAAAUCUGAGAUGCGAUCCAGGCCCUUAGAGCCUACCCAGGACCCCCUGAAGUGGCAAAGAUUAAGGGAACUCACAAAAAGCCUGGAAUCUCCCAGAGAGGAUGAGCAGUUCUAUGCAGCACAGGCUCUGGGAUGCUUACGCAUCAGUGACAAGUUUGUCAUGGAGGCACUACAGCAGGUGGUGAGUCUGAGAACUGCUGGAGUUCAGGAAAGAAGGAAACAGGGUCUGAGAUGUGUGGCAUGUGGGCACAGACGAGGCUCCCCGGGGUGCUAGGAUGGCGGGUCAGAUCCAGUAAGGACACAGCCACCACUGUGCAGCAUGACCCAUCCCAUGUCCUUGGCCUCUUCGAAGAGCAGCUGGAUCUAAAAGAUAGGGAAGGAAGAAUCUGAAGAUCUCCCUGGUCUAACCGAAAAGACAUUGGACUGAAAAGCCAGGAAAGUCUGAAAGCCAGAACAGAGUACAUUCUCUGCCUUUACUGGAAACACCGCAUAUGUAUACAUCAGCUUACCACUGGGAACAUGCAUUCUUUAUAUCCAUAAUCUCAUUUAACUCUUACAACAACACCAGGAAUUAGUAUCUGUAUUUCUCUAAAUGAGAAAAUGAAAGCUCUGAGAGACCAAGGGACUUGCCCAAGGCCAAGUGGCUACAAGAUACCAGAUAGAGAUUUGAACAAACAUCUAACUCCCAACUGUAUUGUUCCUUCCAUUGAACCAUUUUGGCUGUAUUCUGUAUUUGAGAAUAGAUAGGUCACUUUCUAGGCUUCAGUUUCCUCUUUUGUAAAAUGAGAAGUUAAGCUGAGACAAUCCCUAAAGCUCUGACAUUCCAUCACCUUAUUAUAUGUUGCUACCACCCGCCUCUUAAAUUAGGCCCAAACUGGUCCAGAGAAAGUGAAGUACGAGGCCUACCGAACCCUGGCCAUCCUGGGUUGCCUGAAUAAGCAUGUGAUCCGGGCUCUCAUCAAACAGCUGAAGGAGAAAAAUGAGGGUCAAAGGAUGGAGACUUUGACGGGGCUACGAAUGGCUCUUAACUCCUGGGCUGCUGUCUCUAAAGACAAGAGGACUCAAGUCGGGGAUGAGGGCAAGCUGGUGCCUGUACUACAGACACUGAUCAAGAAGUCGUCCAGUGAAGCAUCUCUGGAGGCAGCCCUGUGCCUGGGUUUCCUGAGGCCUUGCAGCAACAUGGUCCAAGAGUUCUUGUUGCAGUGCCUGUGCCAAGGACUCAAGACCCAGCGGAUGAAGGCACUUAGGAUGCUGGUCAAGGUGAUGCACGUGCACUCAGCCCCAGUCAUCAGGGCCAUCCUAGACCAGCUGUGUUCUUCCAGUGUCCUUGAGGACCGCUUUGAAGCCACCCAAAUGCUCAAGACCAUUGGGCUGGAACAGAUCCAGGCACAGGGGCUAGAGGAACUCACAUUUAACCUGCUCAGGAGGAAGACGCAUAAUGAACCCUUCCUUGCUGUGAGGCAGGCUGUGGCUCAAACUGUGGAAGAGCUCAAGUUGAAGCCUACGAUGAUGAACUUGGUGGAGGCACAACUGAUGAACCCAGAUGCCACUGCACGCCAGGAAGCAGUCAUCUCUUUGGGUGUCCUGGGGAUCCGCAGUCCACAAGUGUUCCACUUGCUCCUGGACUUACUAGAUGCAGAAAACCACCAGGCUGUGAAGAAGAGUCUACAAGAAACAUUAAUCCUUUGUGCCUCAACUGAUCCCUGGAUCCAAAACAAGCUGAAAAACAAGGUUCUCUUUGUAUAUGAGGCACCUAAGACCAAUGUGAAGGCAGAGCCCACAAGGUUCCAGAAAGAGCCUGAGAACCCAGAAGAGUUAACUAUUCAAGACUUUCGACUUGCAAAGCUGAACCCCUUGUUCAUUGCAAAGUCCAUCACCAAAGUAGGCCAAAAGAAAAUGCCUGCUUUCCCACCGUGCUGCUCGAAACCACAAAAACAUAGGCCACAGGCCAUAGGGCCCUGGCAGCCAAGGAUCAAGAAACAGCUCCGGGUCCUUGCUGAAAUUGCCAAGUAAGUCAGUUCUUUGGGCCUACUCCCCGACUCCCUCCCUGAAGAUGCUUCUCAGGCUCCCCUGAGAAAACAAUCUAUACUUAUCUUCCGUGAAUAAACAAGUGUCACUCUACCUACCACA
rnacentral:sRNA from 1 species